AAAAUGUAAAUUAAUAAGAUUAGAGUAGUAAUAGUUAUGGUCUUGAAACUCAAAAAAUUUGGCGGUAUUUUAGUCUAUUCAGAGGAACCUGUAAUGUAAUCGAUAUUCCACGAUGGACCUUACUUAAUUUUAUUAUUUAAUUUGUAUAUCGCCGUUAUUUGAAAAUUUUAUAAGAAUAAUAAUUUUCUAAAAUUUUAAUUAAAAAAUAAAUCAGGUCAAGGUGCAGUUUAUAGUUAAGUAUUAUAUGGGUUACAAUAAAAUUAUUUAUAUGAAUUAAGUUAUGAAAAUAAUUUAUGAAGGUGGAUUUGAUAGUAAAUUUUAAUAGAUAGUAGUAUUGAUU
rnacentral:rRNA from 1 species